GCGGCACCAGUCGCGAAACCUUUGCAAUACACGCAAGUGUGACAGGGUCAUCCCGAGUGCCGACCGCUGAGGUUGGCUUUUACCCAGUCUAGAAAGCUGGGGGAAUAAGGAGAGGGCAAGUCUGGUGUCAGCCGCCGCGGUAAUACCAACUCUCCGAGUGGUGUGGACGUUUAUUGGGCCUAAAGCAUCCGUAGCUGGCUGAACAAGUCCCCUGUUAAACCCACCGAUUUAAUCGUUGGCUUGCGGGGGAUACUGCUCGGCUGGGGGACGAGAGAGGCAGACGGUGUUCCCGGGGUAGGGGUGAAAUCCUAUAAUCCCGGGAGGACCACCAGUGGCGAAGGCGGCCGACUAAAACGCGCCCGACGGUGAGGGACGAAAGCUGGGGGAGCGAACGGGAUUAGAUAUGAAGUUGAGUCUUUGCCAGCUUCACUAGAUACCCGGGUAGUCC
rnacentral:rRNA from 1 species